rnacentral:rRNA from 1 species
GACGAACGCUGGCGGCGUGCCUAAUACAUGCAAGUCGAGCGAGCUGAACCAGCAGAUUCACUUCGGUGAUGACGCUGGGAACGCGAGCGGCGGAUGGGUGAGUAACACGUGGGUAACCUGCCCUAAAGUCUGGGAUACCACUUGGAAACAGGUGCUAAUACCGGAUAACAACAAUAGCUGCAUGGCUAUUGCUUAAAAGGCGGCGAAAGCUGUCGCUAAAGGAUGGACCCGCGGUGCAUUAGCUAGUUGGUAAGGUAACGGCUUACCAAGGCGACGAUGCAUAGCCGAGUUGAGAGACUGAUCGGCCACAUUGGGACUGAGACACGGCCCAAACUCCUACGGGAGGCAGCAGUAGGGAAUCUUCCACAAUGGGCGAAAGCCUGAUGGAGCAACGCCGCGUGAGUGAAGAAGGUUUUCGGAUCGUAAAGCUCUGUUGUUGGUGAAGAAGGAUAGAGGUAGUAACUGGCCCCUAUUUGACGGUAAUCAACCAGAAAGUCACGGCUAACUACGUGCCAGCAGCCGCGGUAACAC